rnacentral:rRNA from 1 species
AACGAACGCUGGCGGCAUGCCUAACACAUGCAAGUCGAACGAGACCAUCGGGUCUUGUUGCGUAUGGGUGUGUAGCGCGGGGGAACCUGCCUUUAGGUUGGGAAUUACACUGCGAAAGGGGUGCUAACAUCGGAUAAUGUCUUCGGACCAAAGAUUUAUCGUCCUUGGUUGGGCCCGAGUUGGUCUCGCUAGUUGGUAGGGUAAUAGCCUACCAAAGGGACUAUACUUAGAUGGUCUGAGAGGAUGGUAAGCAACACUGGGACUGAGACACGGCCCAGAAUCCUGCGGGAGGCAGCAGUGGGGAAUAUUGGACAAUGGGCGAAAGCCUGAUCCAGCUAUGCCGCGUGAGUGAUGAAGGCCUUAGAGUUGUAAAGCACUUUUACCCGGGAUGAUAAUGACAGUACCGGGAGAAUAAGCUCCGGCUAACUCCGUG